rnacentral:rRNA from 1 species
UACGUAGGGGGCAAGCGUUGGUCCGGAAUCAUUGGGCGUAAAGCGCGUGUAGGCGGUCCGGUAAGUCCGCUGUAAAAGUCGGGGGGCUCAACCCUCGGAUGCCGGUGGAUACUGUCGGGCUUGAGUACGGAAGAGGCGAGUGGAAUUCCUGGUGUAGCGGUGAAAUGCGCAGAUAUCAGGAGGAACACCAAUUGCGAAGGCAGCUCGCUGGGACGUUACUGACGCUGAGACGCGAAAGCGUGGGGAGCAAACAGG